AGGGGCAGCACAAGGAGCAAUCUGAGGUGGCGACCGGCGGCACGGGUGAGUAACACGUAUGCAACCUGCCUGUAAGCGGGGAAUAACCCGUUGAAAGACGGACUAAUACCGCAUAAUACUAAAUUACUGCAUGGUAAUUUAUUUAAACAUUUAUGGCUUACAGAUGGGCAUGCGCAUGAUUAGCUAGUUGGAGAGGUAACGGCUCCCCAAGGCAACGAUCAUUAGGGGUUCUGAGAGGAAGGUCCCCCCACACUGGUACUGAGACACGGACCAGACUCCUACGGGAGGCAGCAGUGAGGAAUAUUGGUCAAUGGACGAGAGUCUGAACCAGCCAAGUCGCGUGCAGGAAGAAUGUCCUAUGGAUCGUAAACUGCUUUUGCAGGGGAAUAAAGUGCAUCACGUGUGAUGUUUUGUAUGUACUCUGCGAAUAAGGAUCGGCUAACUCCGUGCCAGCCGCCGC
rnacentral:rRNA from 1 species